rnacentral:lncRNA from 1 species
UUUUUUUUUAAUUGACGUAUAGCUGAUUUACAAUGUUGUGUUAUACUCAGUUGAUUUCUGACAAGGGUGUUAAGAAAGACAAUUUAGUGAGGGAAAGAAUAGUCUUUUCAAUAAAUGGUGCCGGGACAACUGAACAUCAUACAAAACAAUGAAGAUGAACCCUUAAAUCAUCCCAUCCACAAAAAGGAAUUCAAAACAGACUAAAGGUGUAAAUGUAAGAGCUCUGCUAUAAAACCCUUAGUAGAAGAAAUAAGAGUUAGAAGAAAACAUGGACAUAAAUCUUUGAGACAUUAGAUUAGGCAAUGAGUUCUUACAUACGACACAAAAAACAUAAGCAAAAAAGAAGGGGAAAAAAGGUAAAGUGGACUUAAAAUUUAAAACCUUUGUGUCUCAAAAGACACCAUCAAGAACGUGAAAAAAUAAUCCAGAGAAUGGGAGGAAAGAGUUGCUAAUCAUGUAUGUGAUAAGGAAGUUGUAUCCAACAUAUAUAAAGAACUCUUAGAAAUCAAUAACGAAAAGAUUACCCAAUUUAAAAAUGGGCAAAGAAUAUGAAUAGAUAUUUCUCCAAAGAAGCUCUGUAAGUGGCCAAUAAGCACAUGAGAAGAUGCUCACAUCAUCAGGCACAUGUGAAAAGCCAAUCAAAACACAAUGGGAUAUUACUUCAUACCCAGGAGGGUGAUAAUAACCAAAAAGACAGUAACAAGUGUUGGUUAGGAUGUGGAGAAUAAGAACCCUCAUACAUUGCUCUUAAAAUGUAAAAUGGUGCAGUGGUUUUGGGAAACAGUCUGGCAGUACCUUAAAAAGUUAAACAUAGAGUUUACCAUAUGACCCAACAAUUCUACCCCAAGGUACAGACUCAAGAGAAGUGAAAACGCGCAUCCACACAACAACACAACAACGUGUAUGUGAAUGUUCACGUCAGCAUUAUUCAUAAGAACCAAUAAAGGGAAACAGCCCAAAUGUCCAUCAAUUGACUAAUGAACAAGAAACAAAAUGCAAUAUAACCAUAUGACGAAAUAUUAUUCAGCAAUAAGAAGCGGAUACAUGCUGUGACACAGAUGAAUCUUAAAAACAUUAUGCUAAGUGAAGAAAACUGUUACAAAAUAGCACAUCCUGUGUGAUUCCAUUUAUACAAAGUAUCUUCAAUAGGCAACUCUUAGUAACAGAAAGCUGUCCCAGGGGUGGGGUUUGGGGGGAAAUGGAGAGUGACUGCUAAGAGGCAUGGGAGUUUCCUUUUGGGCUGAUAAAAAUGUUCUAAAACUGAUCUGGGUUAUCACUCAUAUAUGGAUCUAAAAUAUGGCACAGAUGAACCUAUCUACAGAACAGAAAUAGACUCACAGAUGUGGAGAGGAGACUUGUGUUGCCAAAGCGGAGAGGGAGGGAGUGGGACAGACUAGGAGUUUGUAGUUAAUAGAUGCAAACUGCUACAUUUAGAAUGGAUAAACAAUGAGAUCCUGCUACAUAGCACAGGGAACUAUAUCCAAUCACUUGUGAUAGACUAUGAUGGAAGAGAAUAGGAGAAAAAGAGUGUAUAUUUGUGUGUGACUGGGUCACUGCUGUACAGCAGAAAUUGACAGACCAUUGUAAAUCAACUAUUAAAAAACCUGACCUGGAGUUCCCACUGUGCCACUGGAAAUGAACGUGACCAGCAUCCACGAGGACACAGGUUCCGUCCCUGGCCUCACUCAGUUGGCCAGGGAUUGAACCUGCAACCUCAUGAUUCACACUUGGCUUCAUUUCAGCUGCAUCACGAUGGGAAGGCCCUUAACAUUAUUAACAGUUCACAUUACAGAUGGAGAAACUGGGGUGUAAAGAAUCACAUGAACUUCCACAAGACUGAAGAAUCCUGAAAUGGCAGAGUCAGUUCCAAUCCCAGGUACCAGAUUCCAGACUCCAGCAAAGCUUCCACUGAUGUCUGUUGAAUGAGUCAGUGAAUGAAUGAAUGAAUGAAUGAGUGCUCAGCUGCCUGCACUAGGAAGAACUGAGCUUCUCUUAACCAGCUGCUUGGUUUUUAUCUUACCAAUGCUCGAAAUCUCUUUCGCUCAUCUCUUCCCGGUUCACCCUGUCCUAAGGCUAAAAAUGUGGUCAUUUAACAGCCAAGAGCAUGCCUUUGGCUCCAACUCCCACCAGCUAUCAGAGGAGUCUUUCUUCCUCAAGGGGAGCCUCAAAUACCUUGGGUGGCAUCGCCACUGUUUCCCAUUGUCUAGGUUUCCGUCAUCUACAGAGCCACUGCAAGACCCUUGCCACUGCAAGCAGAGCCACUCUGGGCCACUUCCAUCCCGCCCCAUCCUACACUGGCUGAAGCUGACUGAUUCCUGCAGCCGCUGGGAGGUUGCUGUGUCCACUUCAAAGGUGCAGUGGCAUCUCCUGCUGGUACAGGCGCUGCCGGUGCUGGUGCGACCGCCACCGCCAGUGCUGGUGCCACUGCCACCACACGAGUGCCACCAACACUGCCAGCGCCGGGCUCACCGCCUCUGCUGCUGCUGGCAUCACGUUGCUGGAGCUACUGCCUGUGUCAGCACCCCAGAGAGCUGGCCUGGCUCCCCCCUGCUCUCAGAGGUAGAGGCAGGUGUGGGAGCAAGGAGCUUUUGUUGUUAUCUGCUCAAGCCCCAGUCUGUAGGCAGAUGAGGGACAGACUGAAUGAUAAGACAUCGUGACAUACUCAAAGCUGUCAAAAUUGCCCUUUUCUCUGAGGGAAGAUUUACUCUGCACUACCUUGGGAUUCCUGGGAGAUGACUGGUCCCUCAUGCAAACAGAUGCCUGGAAAACCCAACUCAUAUUCCCAAGAUAUUUCUACAUCCCAUGGCGGGGGGGGGGGGGGGGGGGGGCGGGGAGCGGGGAACGGUGGUGUCUCACCCCACAAUACAUGUUUGUGGCUCAUCUUUCAGAACCCACCAGUUCUCAUGAUGUGCACCUGUGAACCCCCUUACCCUUGACUUUGCCUGGGGUCCCCUUCACUCCUGUUCCUCAGAUGUAUCCUUCUUCUUGUUAUACUACAUGUAUAUCCUCAAGUUGCUUUUGGAAUAAGACAGGAGAGAUUACAAACAUGAAAGGAAAUCAAAUGAACAGCAGGAGGGAGAACUUACACACACCAACUUUAAAAAGGAAAGUCCAUUUCCAAAUCUGAUCUGCUUCCAUGGGGAGUCCUUUCUGAAGAUGUCAAACAGGCAGAAAUUCUUGGCCAAAGGACUUGGUAGUUCCAGGUGAAAAACAAGGCUCUCUCAAAAAGCUUCCCUGAACAUGAAUUAUAGCAUGUUUAUCCCUUGUCCUUUGUAGACAGACAUGAAUAACCCGGUUGGGCAUGGCUGAUCCUGGGUGAAGUUGGCCUUCAGGCUCCCCAACCUCCCUGGCCCUCCAUAGCCUUCAGAACCCCUUUCUUUAAAGAGCAUCCAGGCUCUUGCAAAGCCCUGGUUUUAAUGCCACAACUCCAUGCUUUGAAGUCAAAGGGGUCACAUAACCCCAAAGACAGGGCCACCUACCUCAUUGACAAGGCCCAGCCCCAAAUGAAAAUUCAGGAUCCCUCAUUCAAGUUUGUAAGAAUUUCAAGAUGGUGACAGAAGAACCAAACCCACUCAACAGGGCCCCAUGCGACAGUGGAGGUCAGACGUCCACACCAGCCCUACCCCCAAGGAAUGUAGUGCCACAUCAAGGACAGUCAAAGGCAUUCCUUUAGAAAAUUGUUUUUAUAUAUAAACACAAAUUCCUAUUUUUAUGGAGCAAUCCUAAAAGUUGGCAAAUACCUUAAAAAUAGAACAAACAACUUCAGAGCCAUUCCAUUCUUGCAGAAGCAAAAGUUGAUUCAGCUCUGCAAUUUGACCUACUGUGGUGAAAGCCCACGAGCAAUACUCUUCAUUUUUUCCCAUGUUUCCUUCCAAAUCUUCAUACCAGUCAGUGUUUUGCCUUUUAAGAGGCAUGUCUGGAAGGGGUGGGAAGAACUUCAAUACCCUGGCAAAGCAGGAAGGAGUCAGAUCACCACCAGCCUACAUCCUUCUCAAAGGAUGGGUGGGGUCUAGCAAGGCUCAGAGGAAGGGUUCUAGAAGGGCAGCAGAGGAGCAGAGAGAGAGGCGCAGAGGUGCAAGGGGCAAGACGGGUCUGGGGCAGAAGGUCAAUAGUACCACGGGGUGGCCACUGAAUUACCAUAAGAACCUGACAACUUCUAAAGUUUUAUUUAUUUAUGUAUUUAUUUUUUGUCUUUUUGCCUUUCUAGGGCCGCUCCCACGGCAUAUGGAGGUUCCCAGGCUACGGGUCAAAUCGGAGCUGUAGCCACCGGCCUACGCUACAGCCACAGCAACGUGGGAUCCGAGCCGCAUCUGCAACCUACACCAUAGCUCACAGCAAUGCCAGAUCCUUAACCCACUGAGCAAGGCCAGGGAUCAAACCCUCAACCUCAUGGCUCCUAGUCUGAUUCAUUAACCACUGCACCACGAUGGGAACUCCAACUUGUAAAGUUUUGGAAUCUGAUUUUAAAACAGGCAUUUCAUACUCAUGAAGGACAAAAUAAAUGUGAGGCACUUUGGGGUCAACUGGGCUCAGGCCUGUAAGGGACACAUGAAUUUUUUCCUUCUAUAAGCAAUAGCCUGAGACGCAGAAUCCGAAGUAAAUGAGAGAGGGGUUUUUUUGCCCUUGAAUUAGCUAUUGCUGAACCUUCGCCCAACUCUCCAGACCUCACAGGUACCUCUCCCCUCUAGCAAAGCUUUCUGGUCUCCGGGCUGGGUCCUUAGUCAGUCUCGCUCCAUACGUGACACGCAGCACCUUGCAGGAUGGGAGGGCACGCCGGUUGCUUGCAGCAGAGAAGGAAACCCAGGCUCACCAUCACUGACAGGCCCAGGCUCAAGAGCUGAACGGGGAGCAAAAUGUUUGGACAAAGCAAACAUACCUGAGACGACACCUAAGGAAAAACUCAAAACAGCUAUUCUACCUAAGCGUCCUCCUGCUCUGCUGACCCUUUGACUUAAAUGUGGUGACGCCCAGUGCAGAAUGGUGAGAGUGUUGAGGUCUGGGACACGGUACAUGAGUCUCACCUGGGCUGCAAGGAAGCUACAUGAAUGCCGACUCCAAACUUCGCAUUCAAAGCAGAGACUGGAUGAUGCACGUACAUUCCUCCAGACCGAAACUGACUCUCUCCCGCCUCCCUUACUCUUUUUAUAUACAUAUAUGUCUGUUCAUUUGUGUACAGACCUGCAUGUUCCCAGAGAACAUGUAUAUAACUCCAUCUGUAUCUCUCUCUACAUGUUAUCCGUACAUGCAUACAUGCAUGUGAAAUAUGCAUAUAUAUAUACAUAAAGAGAGGCAGAAAGAAUACACACAUAGGUACAGCAUACAUAAGUAUGUAGCACAAUUCAGUUCCAUUCCAUUUUAUUAAAUUCAACCAACACUCAGGGCCUCUGCCAUUCGCUGGCUCUACGCUAGGCACUGGAACACACAGAGUGUCACCAACCUCCGGGGCCUCACCAUCCAGAGAGGACAAAACGGAAACCACACCCCCGGAUCUAUCAACACAGUGGCCAUGUAUUGGGGGGGGGGCAGUGUGGUUUGGUGGUUCUAGACUGAGGAAGGUUAGCAUCAGUGUGGGAGCUCCAGUCAUGCUGGCUGGGCUCAGCUUUCAGGCUGGGUGACCUUAAACACACACCUGCAGCCUCAGGGUCCUCGGUGGUAAAGCGACUGCCUAUCACGGUGACAGCCCGGGCACGCACUGGCAUACGGAAGGCACUCAGUGAAAAAGAACCCAUACUCCUCUUAUUAUGGUGAAGAAGGUGAGGCUCUG